UACGGGGGGGGCAAGCGUUUGUUCGGAAUUACUGGGCGUAAAGGGCUCGUAGGCGGCCAACUAAGUCAUACGUGAAAUCCCUCAGCUUAACUGGGGAACUGCGUGUGAUACUGGAUGGCUUGGAUUUGGCAGAGGGGGAUGGAAUUCCGCGUGUAGCAGUGAAAUGCGUAGAUAUGCGGAGGAACACCGAUGGCGAAGGCAAUCCCCUGGGCCUGCACUGACGCUCAUGCACGAAAGCGUGGGGAGCAAACAGG
rnacentral:rRNA from 1 species